rnacentral:rRNA from 1 species
CUGGCCGUAAACGAUGGAUACUAGGUGUAGGAGGUAUCGACCCCUUCUGUGCCGGAGUUAACGCAAUAAGUAUCCCGCCUGGGGAGUACGAUCGCAAGAUUGAAACUCAAAGGAAUUGACGGGGGCCCGCACAAGCGGUGGAGUAUGUGGUUUAAUUCGACGCAACGCGAAGAACCUUACCAGGGCUUGACAUUGAGUGAAAGGGCUAGAGAUAGCUCCCUUAUCUUCGGAUAACACAAAAACAGGUGG